rnacentral:rRNA from 1 species
GUGGAUUAGAUACCCUGGUAGUCCACGCCCUAAACGAUGUCGACUGGGUGUUGGGGAAGCGAUUUCCCAGUACCGUAGCUAACGCGUGAAGUCGACCGCCUGGGGAGUACGGCCGCAAGGUUAAAACUCAAAGGAAUUGACGGGGACCCGCACAAGCGGUGGAUGAUGUGGAUUAAUUCGAUGCAACGCGAACAACCUUACCUACCCUUGACAUGUCCGGAAGCCUGCUGAGAGGCGGGGGUGCCCGAAAGGGAACCGGAACACAGGUGCUGCAUGGCUGUCGUCAACU